GCCCAGACUCCUACGGGAGGCAGCAGUGGGGAAUAUUGGGCAAUGGGCGCAAGCCUGACCCAGCAACGCCGCGUGAAGGAAGAAGGCUUUCGGGUUGUAAACUUCUUUUAAGAGGGAAGAGUAGAAGACGGUACCUCUUGAAUAAGCCACGGCUAACUACGUGCCAGCAGCCGCGGUAAUACGUAGGUGGCAAGCGUUGUCCGGAUUUACUGGGUGUAAAGGGCGUGUAGCCGGGCCGGCAAGUCAGAUGUGAAAUUCCGGGGCUCAACCCCGGACCUGCAUUUGAAACUGUUGGUCUUGAGUAUCGGAGAGGCAGGCGGAAUUCCUAGUGUAGCGGUGAAAUGCGUAGAUAUUAGGAGGAACACCAGUGGCGAAGGCGGUCAACUGGACAGCAACUGACGCUGAGGCGCGAAAGCGUGGGGAGCAAACAGGAUUAGAUACCCCAGUAUA
rnacentral:rRNA from 1 species